CAUUGACGUGCUGGGCUGUUGGGAGGUAAGAUCGAUACUCGCUUCUCAAAGUGGAUCAUGUACAUGGAUGGCCUUUUGUUUUUGGGAUGAUCUGGUAACACCAGGAAGACGCACCUUCCAGACAUCAAUCAAUUCGGAUGGAGCUUGAUGUGCAGCCAACCCUAGAUACAGUGAUCGUCCUGUUACCUGUAUCCGGAGUCACCGACGUUAAGCAGAAAUGACCCAGUGCUGUAUUUCCGACGUGGUUAACAACUCAACUCGCGGCCUAUUAAGCACGCGUGGAAGUGGUUCGCAAGUGUUGUGUGUUAGGGUCAAGGGGAGACUUCUGGCUGUUGGAUAAAAGCUUCCAAAGUCGAUACAUUUGUGCUUAGUGCAAAUGACAGUGUUGAUUAUAGCGGAAUACAUUCACCAGACGGUCCAUGGUUGCCAAUACACUACAUGAAGACGAAUAAAUCAAGUGCAGCGAUAGACAUUCAAACAAAACCAAGUCUUUGUACGAGCGAGUGACGUUUGUGUUGCAACAAUUCUACCAGAUUAGGACCAGAGAAUUGGAAACUUAUGUCAAUACACUGAAGAGCCUACCGUGAUGAGGUGCUCUCGUUUGUUAAGGAACAACCAUUUGCAUUUCAGCUCUACUGGAACAAUAAUGGUAUCGAUUGGUAUCCUUAAAACGUGUUUGAAGUAUGCGCUUGAGAAAAUAGCUCAAGACGGUGUUUUGUAAAACCUUUUUGUAGUCGUCCUGAAAACAGCUAACGCACGACUUGCCAUUGAACUUCUUCUACCUCAUCUUCUAGUACGGAACAUAGUACUUCCUUGUCCGGAAUAAACACGUGAUCAGUUACUGAUAAUUCA